UAGCAUUCCCAUUUCAUUCCCUGCAUGCUCAAAUGUCUGGAUGGAGAAUUCAUCAUCCAUGCCACUUUUUGAAGUGAAGAUGGAAUACCUAUUGGAAACUUUGUAUUCACCGAGGCCCUCAGUCACCAAUCUGCGCAGAUGGACACUUUGACUGAAACUCUUUAUCUGAAGUUAGCUGCAUCACUGGAAUCCAAAACAACAACUGGAAAAUAUAACCUAAAAAUAUGCUCUCAUGUGCCAGGAAACAGCCAGAACAAAAGAGCAAUCCGUUCCUUUACAGUGGUUUCAUCGCUCACUGAUCAGGUUUCCACAAAUGCGGUCGGUAGCGCUGAUACAUGUCACUCUGUUGAAUGACAAGGAAGUAAGACAACAAUGGCGGCUGUACCUCGACCAAGCUGGUGCGAAGAUUGUGCAGUCGUGUCUUGGAAAUCAGAGGAAAGACAGCUGGAAAGCCCAUCAUGCUGGCGGUUUACAGACUGUUUGCACUUCAUUGUCUGCUGAUCUCUGGUCUCAUCACUAUGCUUUACCUGUGUUCGGCUUCUCUUUAUCUUUCCUUACCGCUUCUUAUCCACAAUGUUGAUGUCUCCAAGGUGACCAGCAAGUGUUGUGGAAUGGAUGUGGAUAAGGAAGUGACACGUAGUCUUAGUGCAUGGGUUCUGUUAUCAGGAUUAUUUUAGAAGGCUCAGAAAAUGUUCAUGAAUCACAGAUACACCAGAUAUAUUUGACUCCUUGAACUGUGUGUUUAGAUUUACCAUGUUUUUGCCCUUCUUUUGUCUUUUUUCUGUAUAUUUUGCCUAGUAGAGGGUGCGACUGCAGCAGAGCAGAAGGCCAGCAAUUCUGACACCUGCAGCCAUCUGAGGGGAUUUCAAACGCCAUCUGCGACCCACCUGGCUCUUGAAUCAACAACCCUCCAUGUCUCAGGCUGGAGUCCCAAACCACGAAACCACAUCUGGGCCUCAUCUGAUCAUCUGAAUCACUGACACUUGUCCACACCCUUAUUCCCAAGGGUGCUCCACCCUAACUAGAACCAGAUGAGUUGUAGCAUGUCAUACUUGGAGGAAAACCAAUCACACAUGACAGAACUGGCAUGAGGCCUGAAGCACAGCUGUUUUUUGGAUUGAAAAAGACUCUCUGCUAGUAAUGGAGUGCUAGGCAGUAUGGAGGCCUGACUCCUGCGAGAUCCAUUUCAUACUUUUGGGGGUUAUCAUCGAGGACGGGUGGAGGGCCACAUACACGCCCCCACACACCCGUAUAUAUAUGGAGAAACCCAGAACUGCAAAUGAGUCCAGAGAGCCUAUUUUUAUCAUAAUGGGAAGAUCUUGUUUUUAAUCACAAUAAGAACAUAAAAGUAAAAAGACAGACUGUUAAACUUUAUACUUUAUUUCAGUGUCUAGGAAACAGUUGUACUUGUGUCUUUCAUGUUCAUACCUUCCUUACAAAGGAAAUUUUUAAAUCAGAUGCCAAGGAAAUUAUAUUUCAAUAGCACAUUUCAUGAAGGAAAUAAAAGAAAGAAAAGGAAGAAAGGAAGGAAGCGGGAAACAGAGAAUUAGAAAUAAAUUAGACUAUGCAUUAAAAGAAAACCAGAACUGUAAUUGUAAUGAUAUUUAUACAUUUUAGCUACAACUACAUAGCCAUGAUAAGCGCUUAUGAUUGCCUCAAAUGCAGUAAAAUCCAGUACACUUCAAAGCCUAAUUAGAUUUGUGCUCUUAAAAUACGUAGAUUGCGUCAUCCAUGCAUUAGAGUCAUGUACACUACUAAAACAGGUCAUAAAAAUUAGGGCACUGCUGUAAUGUUUAAUGCUUUUCUUCAGUGUUUGCUGUUCAGCAGCAAGCUGUAAUAUUUUUUUUGAGUGGCACCAGACCACAGCUGUGCACUGUGAGAGUGUGUGAUUUACCUUUAUGCAUAUUCUCUUGUUGUUUGUUGUUGUUGUUAUUGUUGUAGGGCAUGGUGGCUUAGUGGGUAUCAUGUUUGUGGCCCUCCUCUGGGGUUGAGGGUUCGAUUCACACCUCUGCUCUAUGUGCACAGAGUUUGCAUGUCCUAAGAAUUACUCCUAGUCCUAAAACAUGCAAUGUAGGCAGAUUACCAUCUAAUAUCUCUAAAUUAUCCAUAAAGUGUACGACUGUGCACUGUAAUGAGUUGGGACCAUGUCCAGGUUGUCCCCUACUUUCUUCACCAAGUCCCCUGGGAUAGACUGUGACCCUGUAUAGGACAAUCGGUAGGGAAAAUGAAAAUUAUUAUUAUUGUUGAUGGAAUUACUAUUGUGCUUGCAAUGCAUUGAUUGAUUAACUUGGCAGCUUCAAAAAGCACAGAGGAGACACUCUCUUGAAACCAUAUGGCAGCAAUUGUUUUGACACCAAAACAUUUAAAAUGCUGGGUCAGAGCAGCAAAGCACUCUGGGAAGCUGUCUAUACACUCCAAGUUCUUAAGACAUUUAACUAUGAUUUCUCUCAUCUUGCUCUCUCUCUCUCUCUCUCUCUCUCUCUCUCUCUCUGUUGUUCUACAUGUCCUGCAUAAUCUUGGCCUCAUUCUAUAUGAAUUUUACAGCAAGCCCCAAAAGCCCCAAAUUAUAUCACAGCUUUCUAUAAAUCCAUAUUUUAAACAAGAAGUGAGACAGAGAGAGAGCGCAAACCUUUUUAAGCCCACUUGCUUUAAUUUUAUGUUUCCCAUAGAGGCUACAGGCCACAGAAACUGUUAGACUCCUCUUAUCAACAGUCACAAUUUCAGCUUACAAUGAAUCCAAGCUGCAAACAUACACCUAUUUUUCAUGCUUGCCAGAGAUAUUAUGAAGAUAUUUUCCCUGCCAUUUCUUUAAGGUAUAGAACAGCAUUAUUUCCACUGACAGUUUUAGGGAGAAAAAAAAGUGAUAUAGCGUUGUUAUAGCUGUGGUUUUAUCCAGCCACCAGCUAAUCCCUUCUGAAAGCCCACUUGCAAUAAAGUGCAACCAUGCUUUUAACACUAGCCCUCUAACCACCCAGCAUUUCUCCAUUUGAAGAGUUAUUGCUGGGCUUUUCAUUACAAAUAUACACAAUAGGGACUUGCUGGCUGUAGUAUUUAAUGUACAUGACUAUAUGUUAUGAUUAACUACAUAUAUCACACCCAUCUCUGUUUUAAAGCUCAAAACAGACUGAAGGGGAAAAAAGCAUCGUCGUUCUCUUGCUCUGUGGAAAUUUUAGCACAGAGUGGGAGAAAGUAUAAAACAUAUGCAAACAAAAAAAGCUGUAACUGCAACUAAAACUAGAAAAAUGUGACUGAAUCAAGUCUAUCCCAGGAAAAAUACACACUGAAUGGGAUGCCUUUUCUUCUCUGCACAAAUAUUCAUACCUACGAGCAAUUUAGCAUAGACAAUCCCUGCUACUGGCAUGUUUUUGGGAGGAAUUUGUUGGAAUCCCAUGUGGACCUGGAGAAAACAUGCACAGAAACACCACACAGACAGUAACCUGAGCUCGAACCGGAGAACCUAGAGCUGUGAGGCAGUAAGUCUACUCACUGCACCAGCAUCCAACAUUGCAAUUUAUUUAUAUUGUCCCAUUUGCCAUGAGAAGACGCUUCCUCUUUAUUUUUUGUCACUGUUACCAGUGUGAUAUUAGAUCCAACACUGAGCAUGUCCUAUCUGUGAAAUGUGUGAAAAUAGGUUCCUAGUUUAUGAAAAGAGGACUAAUUUGGGACUCAUACUGCGGUUACUGCUGCUAUAUUUAAAAAAAUUAGUAAAUCUUGCAUGUUGUGUAAACAGUAGUUCAAAUUUUUAUUUCUUUUUUUCUUUUGUGCUUUCUUCCCUUUGUGCAUUUCAGGAGGCUUAAAAACAGCCAAGGAGGAUUUAUGUGGCGAUAUUUUUUAGUCACAGAUGUGAAAGCACUAGACAAGCUGUUACUCAAAGCAGUCACUGACCGUAUUUAUCCAGUGGUGGUUGUUAACUCAAAUAAGAAGGUUAACCCAGGGUUUAAUAAUGUACUGUGUUAAAGGUCAGAUUAUGAAUAGUCAGGAUUUAAUUGUUAACCCUAGGUACAGUGUGAGCAGUGUGAAAUGUGAAAUAAGAUAACCCAGAUUCCCUUUACCCAGAGUUUACAAUCACCAGUAUGAAAAGCUCUACUCUUCUAGUGUUCAAACAUUUAGGGGAUCUUCCAGAGGGAAAUCUGAAGAACCAUUAAAGUUUCGAAAUUUUGUAAAAGUUUAAAAAAUGCUAAUAGUAGCCCAAAACCAGCACAAUAUACAGUCUAAACUGCUUCCUUUGGCCCAGGCUAAUAUUCAUGCCGUUAAAAGCAAUGGAAUCAUUUUGUACUGUAUAUCUAUUUCAGAUGAGGCAUCUUGGCAUUCAAAGAACUGGGAUUUACAGCUCCACUGGAUCAAUCGCUUAGUAUCAGUUAAUGAAAUACACCACAUGCUGUAUUCCCCUGCUCACUCCCCUUCAUUAACAACAUUACAAAUGUCCAGAUCGCAUUAGUCCAGGUUAAAUCAAAAAUGCCAUUUCACCAAAAUAAAUUGAGCAUUUCUUGUUUUCUAGUGCACAUUUUGAUUUGCUGGAUUCUACAGCCUCAAUUCAGUGGGAAGACUUCCAAAUGUUUACUGGUGUAUCAGUUUCAGAGGUGCACAGAAUUAAAUCAGAAUCGAGACAAGUGGAGAACACAAUUAAACCUGGUUCCAUUGGGCCCCCUGCAUGGCCACAAAGACAUCAAUUAUCAUUAGAGCUUGUUUUGGUGGAUGGUGACCUUCAGUCCACUCCUACGCCGUUCCUCAACCAGCCUGUCAGUCCUGGCACAGGUUCGACAUGUGCGAUCACUGCGUUUGCGCUCCAAAUUGUAGUCGAGCGUCAGAUAUAAAGAGCCCGCGAGACCCAUUCGCUUUAGCAGGCAACGUCCGCUCCGCCAGUGCGUCACAUGCUCCAUGCCGACACUUUCUUUUCUUUCCUUCACUUUUUUUUAUUAUUAUUAUUUUUUUCCCUUACAAGUGCUUUGACCUUUGGAGAUUUUUCACAAUUGUUCCUUUCCCCUUCUUCUUCUUUUCUUUUUUUCCAUCCACUUUUUUCCUGCCCUCCCCCUUCAGUUAGUAUUAUGCCUUUCUUGUUUUGUUUUGCUGUUUCUCUUUGGCGAUUUCUAUGGUGACAGUGCGCUUCCCAGGAACAAUGAAGCCUGGGGGAUUAAGAAGCGCGAACAGUCAUGACUGUUUCAUAAAUAGGUAGGAGACAGAGGAGCACUGAAUGGGAUCAGCAGAUGUGAUGAGAAUGGCAGAAUUUCGAUCAUUUGGAGAAACAAAGACAAAAAAGACAUUAUGAUGGAAGGACAAAAGAUCAAGACAAUUUUGUCUCGUCUGCACUAAGCAUGAGAUCAUCUGAUGUGGCAUUGCUUCACUCUGUUGCUCUUUAUAAUUUACACAAAACUUAAAAGAAUUGCUGUUACGCAGUAAGAACCAAUUAUAUUCAACAUAAUCAAAGCAUUCCAACCAUUACCGACAUCUGUGAAUUCGGAUCUCUCCUUUCCCAAACCUAUUCUCUCUUUGAGUCCAAGAGUUCAUUCCACCUAAUUUCAGCUCUAACUCUUAAUUUGGGCCAAUGGGAGACAAAUAUCGUGCUUUGAAUUUCUUGGCAGUGACACUCGUAGCAUUAGCAGACCACUGGAAACCAAUCACCAGGGUUCUUCUUCUCUUUUUACGUCAUAGCGCAGGGUGGGUUAUCAUUAGCAUGAUCGUGUUCAUCAGAACAGAUUCUAGCCUCACAAACAUGCUUCACGGCUAGUUAAACGCACGCAUGUACACAUAUAAACACACAGCUUAUUCCCAAGCCUGCUUCAGCAGCCCGACAAGCAGAAUUAGUGCAGAAAGCAUGAGCAUGUUACCAUGUACUCUCUCUCUCUCUGCCUCUCUCUCUCUCUCUCUCUCUCUCUCUCGCUCUUUCUCUGGAAAAGCCAGCCACUCUCACCAAGAGCUCUGGUCUCAGGGUGCAUUCUUGUUAACACACAGUGCAGGUGUGUGAGAUGAGACAAAGGCAUCUGGCCAAGAAAGAAUGAAAACAGAGUUAAGCUGUUCUACUUAUUACACAGUCCUGGGAGAUCGCAGCCAAUGUGUAUGGUUUUAAGUUGUAGUAGUUUUGAGAGUCCUGGGUCAAAGCUAUUUCUCAUUUACUACAGACCCCUUUGCUCAGGAAGCCCUUUGUAAGUGGGAAGGCUGGUCUCAUACUGGAACAUUUCCAUAGCAAAGAGUUGAGUUAACAAUCCUCCAUUGCCUGGUGCUGUCAACGGAACAGGAUCUCAACACCCACCUGAUGGUUUGGACUGUGUAGGGAUUAUUGGUUUUAAGUUUAGAGCCAUGUCACUCUUGAAGCGCAUCCGCUUCAUGACACUGACAUCACAAGCGUCUCAUGGUAACUGAGAGAAAUAUUUUGCCUCCUUCACAGCCAUCACCUGUCAGUUUACACCAAGGGGGUUAACAGAACACUUCUGCAUGGGCAGGACACAAAGAAAGCUAAGGAGACAGCAAACAUUUGAGUAGGCAAAGAUGUAAGAACAUAACACGCUGUAUCCUAGAGGAAGUGGCAAAUCUCAGGUUGCAUGCUAUGUCCUCCAUCAUUUUCAUACAUUUGUGCUGGCUGAAUGAGUUUUGUGUGUCAGGUUUUAUGUCUGUUUUAUGUUGUUUCUUGUCAACUAGUAAAUUCUCUCUGUUCCUAAAGCAUGUGUUGUGUUGUAUUUGGGCUAAGUAAAUGCCACA